rnacentral:rRNA from 1 species
AGAUUGAACGCUAGCGGGAUGCUUUACACAUGCAAGUCGAACGGCAGCGCGGACUUCGGUCUGGCGGCGAGUGGCGAACGGGUGAGUAAUAUAUCGGAACGUGCCCAGUAGCGGGGGAUAACUGCGCGAAAGCGUGGCUAAUACCGCAUACGCCCUACGGGGGAAAGGGGGGGAUUCUUCGGAACCUCUCACUAUUGGAGCGGCCGAUAUCAGAUUAGCUAGUUGGUGAGGUAAAGGCUCACCAAGGCGACGAUCUGUAGCUGGUUUGAGAGGACGACCAGCCACACUGGGACUGAGACACGGCCCAGACUCCUACGGGAGGCAGCAGUGGGGAAUUUGGACAAGUGGGGGAAACCCUG